rnacentral:tRNA from 1 species
GUAAAUAUAGUUUAAUAAAAACACUAGAUUGUGAAUCUAAUAUUAGAAGAAUAAAAACUUCUUGUUUACC